rnacentral:tRNA from 1 species
ACCCGGCUGGCUCAGUCAGUAGAGCAUGCAACUCUUGAUUUCGGAUUGUGAGUUUGAGCCUCACACUGGGUG